AGAGUUUGAUCCUGGCUCAGGAUGAACGCUGGCGGCGUGCCUAAUACAUGCAAGUCGAGCGAACGGACGAGAAGCUUGCUUCUCUGAUGUUAGCGGCGGACGGGUGAGUAACACGUGGAUAACCUACCUAUAAGACUGGGAUAACUUCGGGAAACCGGAGCUAAUACCGGAUAAUAUUUUGAACCGCAUGGUUCAAAAGUGAAAGACGGUCUUGCUGUCACUUAUAGAUGGAUCCGCGCUGCAUUAGCUAGUUGGUAAGGUAACGGCUUACCAAGGCAACGAUGCAUAGCCGACCUGAGAGGGUGAUCGGCCACACUGGAACUGAGACACGGUCCAGACUCCUACGGGAGGCAGCAGUAGGGAAUCUUCCGCAAUGGGCGAAAGCCUGACGGAGCAACGCCGCGUGAGUGAUGAAGGUCUUCGGAUCGUAAAACUCUGUUAUUAGGGAAGAACAUAUGUGUAAGUAACUGUGCACAUCUUGACGGUACCUAAUCAGAAAGCCACGGCUAACUACGUGCCAGCAGCCGCGGUAAU
rnacentral:rRNA from 1 species